CUGUCUUAUGGGAACACACCUAUCCUCUGUAGUCCUCCAACCCAGAAACACCCACUCUCAAAGCAGAGUCCACAGAUUGGUCUGAGAAGAGAGGCAGAAUAAGAACGAGAGGAAAAGGUGGAGAGAGAAGUGAGAGAGAGGGACUGAACGAGGCAGGGCUGAGACACAUAUUACUGUCACACAGGGACUGAACGAGGCAGGGCUGAGACACACAGUUUGAGAGACAGAAUGUGCAGAGAACAACUAAAGAAGAGACACGGAGGUGUGGGACAAAAGCCAGCCAUUUCCUGACCCCACGUCCAGCCGCACAGCGCCUCCAAUAAAAGCCAUUCAGGAAGGCCUCAGACCAAUCAUAACGGUUCUAACCAGCAGUGCAAUCAGACCUCGACCCAGGAGUCUCCACUCUCAACACAAUAUAAAACAGUCACAUUGGCGCAAGAAGAACAGAAGAGAAAGGGAGGGAGAGAGAGAGAAGUAGAUGACUGUAUCGAUCCUCGUGAAGUACAUGUCAAAGUAAAAGCACCAAAGAGAAGUCCUAUAGACGACAGUAUUGGUUGUGAAGAAAGGCUACAAAGUGAGGGGGACAAAAUGCUAUUUAUUUUCUCACCUUUCUGUCUCUUUGUGCAUCACAGCUUCCAAAACUUUGAACAUCCCACGGAGCACCAUUAAAUCCAUUAUUAAAAAAAUGGAAAGAAUAUGGCACCACAACAAACCUGCCAAGAGAAGGCCGCCCACCAAAAUUCUUGGACCAGGCAAGGAGGGCAUUGAUCAGAGAGGCAACAAAGAGAC
rnacentral:lncRNA from 1 species